rfam:Agaricus bisporus var. burnettii JB137-S8 unplaced genomic scaffold AGABI1scaffold_11, whole genome shotgun sequence.
UCCCGCUUGGCCCAGUGGUAAGGCGUCUCACUCGUAUCACAGCGCAAUGAGAAGAUCAGUUGUUCGAAUCAGCUAGUGGGAA